rnacentral:lncRNA from 1 species
CUUUUAACUGUAGGUUGGAUUGACAAAUUUUAUUUUUCAAAGAUGUCAAUACAACCUACAGUUAAAAGCUAUGGAAUUUAAACAAUGUGAUACACAAAGACAAACAGAUAAAAGAACAGAAUAGAGAGCUCAGAAAUAAACCGUUCUGUAUAUGAUCAAAUGAUCUUCCACAGAGUUGCCAUGCAUACAAAAUAGAGAGAAAUAAUCUCUUCAAAAAAUGAUGUUGAAAACUGAAUGUCAACACUGAUAAAAUGAAGUUGGAUUAUUUCCUUGAAUGAUACAAUAAUAUAUUUUAAAUAAAAUACUUAGACAUAAAAAUAAACAAAUGGGAAAAAGCAUUUGAAAAAACACACAAAAUUACUAAUUUGUAGAGAAAUGAAAACAAAAAACACAAUACCAACAAAAUCGCCUCACACUCAUUAGGUGUAAAAAUAAAAUCCAUGUUGAUUGCUGGUGGAAAACAAAGACACAGCCAUUAUUUUAAAAUGUUAUAAAUAUUCCUCAUUUAUAAAUCUAUAUCUAAAAUAUGUAACACAGGCCAGGUGCAGUAGCUCAAGCCUGUAAUCCUAGCACUUUGGGAGGUUGAGGUGGGCAGAUAACCUGAGGUCAGGAGUUUGAGACGAGCCUGGCCAACAUGGUGAAAUACCAUUUCUACUAAAAACACAAAAAUUACCUUGGCGAUGUGACGUGCACCUGUAAUCCCAGCUACUUGGGAGGCUGAGGUAGGGGAAUCACUUGAACCCAGAAGGCAGAGCUUGCAGUGAGCUGAGAUCGCACCACUGCACUUUAGCCUGGGCAACAGAGCAAGAUUCCAUCUCAAAAAAAAAAAAAAGAAAGAAAGAAAAAGAAAGAAAGAAAGAAAACAACAACAAAAAAACAAAAUAUGCAACACAGGACCUGGAAGACAUAAUUGAAAAUACAUGUAUUUUGUACCAGUAUUCACAAAAGCCAAAAGGCUAAACCAGCAUAUAUCUCUUAAUUUAUAAACACAUCAAAAAAUAUAACAUACACAUACAAUGGAAUAUUAUUCCACUUUAAAAAGAAUAAUCUUGUCACAUUUUAAGAUGAACAUUGAAAAUAUUAUGCCACCUGAAUUAAUCCAGUAACAAAAUUAUGGAUACUGUAUGAUUCCACUUAUAUGAGAUAUCUUAAGUAGUCAAAAUCAUAAAAUCAGAAAGUAGAAGGUUUGUCUGUCAAGGGCUGGAAAGAGUGUAAAAUGAGCAGUUGUUACUUAAUGGGCAUUGAGUUUUAGUUUUACAAGAUGUAAAGUUUCUAGAAGCCUUUUGCAUGACAGUGUGAAUAUAAUUAACAUGCCUGAAAUGAACAGCUCUUUUUUUGAGACGGGGUCUCACUGUGUCACCUAAGCUAAAGUGUAGUGGCACAAUUUUGACUCCCCCUCAAUCUCCCAAGUAGCUGGGACCACAGCUGCACACCACCAUGCCUGGCUAUUAUUAAUUUUUUUUAUAGAGGAGAGUCUCCAUAUGCUGCCCAGGCUGGUCUCAAACUUUUGGGCUCCAGGUAUCCUCCUGUCUUGGCCUCCCAAAAUCCUGGGAUUACAGAUCAGAGCCACCACCACGCCUGGCCCUGAAAUGUACACUUCAAUAGAUUUAAGAUGGUAAAUUUUACAUUAUGUGUUUUUAAAACAAUUUUUUUAAAGAAAAACUGAAAAAAAAAUUACAUAUUUUUUUGAAAAUUACCUUCAAAUCACAAAAAUGUUUCUCUCAUGAAAGGAAAUACAAGCAGAAUUGCAAAUUGUCUAAAAUUAUAAUACAUAAGUAAAACCAAAACACCCAAUAAACUAAUGGUAAGAAACCUACAC